CCUACGGGUGGCAGCAGUGAGGAAUAUUGGUCAAUGGACGGAAGUCUGAACCAGCCAUGCAGCGUGCAGGAAGACGGCUCUAUGAGUUGUAAACUGCUUUUGUACAAGGGUAAACCUGAAUACGUGUAUUCUGCUGAAAGUACUGUAUGAAUAAGGAUCGGCUAACUCCGUGCCAGCAGCCGCGGUAAUACGGAGGAUCCAAGCGUUAUCCGGAUUUAUUGGGUUUAAAGGGUGCGUAGGCGGAUUGUUAAGUUAGAGGUGAAAGGUUGGGGCUUAACUGUGGAACUGCAUCUAAUACUGGUGACCUAGAGAGUAGAUGCGGUAGGCGGAAUGUAUGGUGUAGCGGUGAAAUGCUUAGAGAUCAUACAGAACACCGAUUGCGAAGGCAGCUUACCAAUCUAUAUCUGACGUUGAGGCACGAAAGCGUGGGGAGCAAACAGGAUUAGAUACCCCAGUAGUC
rnacentral:rRNA from 1 species